AUACGAAGGUCCCAAGCGUUAUUCGGAAUCACUGGGCGUAAAGAGUUCGUAGGCGGUUUGGUAAGUCAGGUGUGAAAUCCCGGAGCUCAACUCCGGAACUGCAUCCGAUACUGCCAGACUUGAGUAAUGGAGAGGCAGGUGGAAUUCUCGGUGUAGCAGUGAAAUGCGUGGAUAUCGAGAGGAAGACCAAUGGCGAUGGCAGCCUGCUGGACAUUUACUGACGCUGAGGUACGAAGGCUAGGGGAGCGAAAGGGAUUAGAAACCCGUGUAGUCC
rnacentral:rRNA from 1 species